rnacentral:rRNA from 1 species
AACGCUGGCGGAAUGCUUUACACAUGCAAGUCGAUCGGCAGCACGGGAGCUUGCUCCUGGUGGCGAGUGGCGAACGGGUGAGUAAUAUAUCGGAACGUGUCCAAUAAUGGGGGAUAACUAGUCGAAAGACUUGCUAAUACCGCAUACGCCCUACGGGGGAAAGCAGGGGAUCGUAAGACCUUGCGUUAAUGGAGCGGCCGAUAUCUGAUUAGCUAGUUGGUGGGGUAAAAGCCCACCAAGGCGACGAUCAGUAGCUGGUCUGAGAGGACGACCAGCCACACUGGAACUGAGACACGGUCCAGACUCCUACGGGAGGCAGCAGUGGGGAAUUUUGGACAAUGGGGGCAACCCUGAUCCAGCCAUUCCGCGUGAGUGAAGAAGGCCUUCGGGUUGUAAAGCUCUUUCGCAAGGAAAGAAAACUUACCCAUUAACACCGGGUGAGGCUGACGGUACCUUGAUAAGAAGCACCGGCUAACUACGUGCCAGCAGCCGCGGUAAUACGUAGGGUGCGAGCGUUAAUCGGAAUUACUGGGCGUAAAGCGUGCGCAGGCGGCCUUAAAAGUCAGAUGUGAAAGCCCCGGGCUCAACCUGGGAACUGCGUUUGAAACUCUAAGGCUAGAGUAUGGCAGAGGGGGGUAGAAUUCCACGUGUAGCAGUGAAAUGCGUAGAGAUGUGGAGGAAUACCAAUGGCGAAGGCAGCCCCCUGGGUCAAUACUGACGCUCAUGCACGAAAGCGUGGGGAGCAAACAGGAUUAGAUACCCUGGUAGUCCACGCCCUAAACGAUGUCUACUAGUUGUUGGGAGAGUAAAAUCUCUUAGUAACGCAGCUAACGCGUGAAGUAGACCGCCUGGGGAGUACGGUCGCAAGAUU